GGCCCGUUGGUCAAGCGGUUAAGACACGGCCCUUUCACGGCUGUAACGUGGGUUCGAUUCCCGCACGGGUCACCA
rnacentral:tRNA from 1 species